AUUGAACGCUGGCGGCAGGCCUAACACAUGCAAGUCGAGCGAGCGGCGGACGGGUGAGUAAUGUCUGGGAAACUGCCUGAUGGAGGGGGAUAACUACUGGAAACGGUAGCUAAUACCGCAUCCCAUCAGAUGUGCCCAGAUGGGAUUAGCUAGUGGGUGGGGUAACGGCGCACCUAGGCGACGAUCCCUAGCUGGUCUGAGAGGAUGACCAGCCACACGGGAACUGAGACACGGCCCAGACUCCUACGGGAGGAAGCGUUGGGGAAUAUUGCACAAUGGGGGCAAGCCUGAGACAGCCAUGCCGCGGGUGUGAAGAAGGCCUUCGGGUUGUAAAGCACUUUCAGCGGGGAGGCGUUACCCGCAGAAGAAGCACCGGCUAACUCCGUGCCAGCAGCCGCGGUAAUUC
rnacentral:rRNA from 1 species